UACGUAGGGUGCAAGCGUUGUCCGGAAUUAUUGGGCGUAAAGAGCUCGUAGGCGGUUUGUCGCGUCUGCUGUGAAAACUCGGGGCUUAACCCCGGGCCUGCAGUGGGUACGGGCAGACUAGAGUGCGGUAGGGGAGACUGGAAUUCCUGGUGUAGCGGUGAAAUGCGCAGAUAUCAGGAGGAACACCGGUGGCGAAGGCGGGUCUCUGGACAGUUCCUGACACUGAGGCACGAAGGCCAGGGGAGCAAACGGG
rnacentral:rRNA from 1 species